CCGGCGGCCGCGGCCCGCGCCCCUCCGCCGCCGGCGGCCCCAUUAGCUCCUCCGCUGCUGCUGGAAGAAGAUCAGCAAUGCUGAUGAUAAAAACUAAGAACAGUGGAAACAAAAGAAACAAGAAGGAGGCAGAAGGCAACUUAAUCUGAAUCAGCCCUAUCCGAUCAAACACUCCAACCCCGGAGGGAGGAAGCGCGUUGUUGGAGGAACUAAGGAUAAUCCAGCUUGACCUUCAGUUGCAGGACAAGAACCGUGGUGUAGUGAAAGCUGCACCGGAUUUAGGAGACCUGGGGUCUAGGUCUGGGACCAAAUUAAGUUACUGUAUUGAGCAAGUUAUUUUGCCUUUUUUGACUUGAGUUUCCUUUCUGGGAUAUUCGAAUAUAAAUCCCUAGGGCACUUGCAGCUUAAAAAUCCGAUAAUUUCUCUAAAAAGGAAUUUUUAAAAUAUAUUUAUUGCAGAGAGGAAGGGAGAAGGGGAGAGAGAAACAUCAAUGAUGAGAGAGAAUCAUUGAUCAGCUGCCUCCUGCAUGCCCCCUACUGAGGAUCCAGCCAGCACAUCCCAGUCAUGUGCCCUGACUGGGAAUGGAACUGUGACCUCCUUGUUCAUAGGUCCAUGCUCAACCACUGAGCCACACUCACUGGGCUAGAAUGGAACUUAUUAAAAUUACCAGCCCACUCCUGUGACCUAGUAUCUUGGUAGUAGAGCCUGGUCUGCAUGCCCAGUGGCCAGCCUGCUCUAACCCUCCCCUUUUGAAAAUGCCUAAAGUGUUCUCUAUGCAAAAAUAAUAGCAAUUGUUUUCUUUUUUUGUACAAACUACAGAAAUAAAUACUUUGUCUUCUU